rnacentral:rRNA from 1 species
UACGUAGGGGGCUAGCGUUGUCCGGAAUCAUUGGGCGUAAAGCGCACGUAGGCGGAUUGUUAAGUCAGGGGUGAAAUCCUGGAGCUCAACUCCAGAACUGCCUUUGAUACUGGCGAUCUUGAGUCCGGGAGAGGUGAGUGGAACUCCGAGUGUAGAGGUGAAAUUCGUAGAUAUUCGGAAGAACACCAGUGGCGAAGGCGGCUCACUGGCCCGGUACUGACGCUGAGGUGCGAAAGCGUGGGGAGCAAACAGG